rnacentral:rRNA from 1 species
UACGUAGGGGGCAAGCGUUGUCCGGAAUUAUUGGGCGUAAAGAGCGUGUAGGCGGCUUGACAAGUCCGCUGUGAAAUCUCGAGGCUCAACUUCGAGCUGUCGGUGGAAACUAUCUGGCUAGAGUCCGGAAGAGGAGAAUGGAAUUCCUGGUGUAGCGGUGAAAUGCGCAGAUAUCAGGAAGAACACCGACGGCGAAGGCAGCUCGCUGGGACGGUACUGACGCUGAGGCGCGAAAGCGUGGGGAGCGAACAGG